AUUGAACGCUGUCGGCAGGCUUAACACAUGCAAGUCGAACGAGUGGCGGACGGGUGAGUAAUGCUUGGGAAUCUAGCUUAUGGAGGGGGAUAACUACGGGAAACUGUAGCUAAUACCGCGUACCAUAGGAUGAGCCCAAGUGGGAUUAGGUAGUUGGUGAGGUAAAGGCUCACCAAGCCGACGAUCUCUAGCUGGUCUGAGAGGAUGACCAGCCACACUGGGACUGAGACACGGCCCAGACUCCGACGGGAGGCAGCAGUGGGGAAUAGUGCACAAUGGGCGCAAGCCGGAUGCAGCCAUGCCGCGUGUGUGAAGAAGGCCUUCGGGUUGUAAAGCACUUUCAGCGAGGAGGCGUUACUCGCAGAAGAAGCACCGGCUAACUCCGUGCCAGCAGCCGCGGUAAUUC
rnacentral:rRNA from 1 species